rnacentral:lncRNA from 1 species
AUACAUACACAGCUACAGUUGAUCUGUACAAACACAAUUUACACGGAAGGAAGUUUCCCAUGAUUUUCUUUGUAGAUGUAUGGUUCACAAUUCAGCAACAGCAUGCCAUCACUUAUAUAUGAUGCAUGAGUUGGAUGGCAUGCAUUCUGAACUCAGUACCAAUGUACACACAGGAAGUGAUCAGACCCUAUAGUACUAUGUGCGUUUGCUUGACUACAUUAUUUGCUUCCUCCUGGGUUGGUUUGUCCUGCCAUUAUGAAAAGGAAGUUUAGGUUAUUGUAGGAAAAAUAUCUAACACCUGGCAUACACCAACUUGUAAUGUAAAAACUGAAUAUUUUUUGGAAUUGAUCAAGUUCUUUAGCAUGCCAUGCUAUAGUUAUAGAGGGAGAGCAGGUGUAGAGAGAGAAUUUUGAGCAAUGCAGACCUUGCAGCAGUGCAGUAUGGGUGGGUGAGGAGGCCAACCUCCACGCAUCGAAACGAAGCAAGGUACAGUCCCUAUUGAUAUCAGUGUGUGACGUAACUGGUGUGGAGGAUAGAGGUACUGAUGCUAGCCUCCAUGACGGUGCAGAUGAGCGGAUGAACCCGGGUAGGGGAGGAUAUGGUGGUGGAAGAGCUCGUGGUUGUCUGCCCCAGUGGCACCUCAAGGCAGAGUUCACUCCCUCGUGCCGCUGCUGCGUCAAUCGCUUGCUUGCUCCGAGAGAAAGGAGCACAGGGUGCAGGGUCGGCUCCAGGACAGACGGAUCCAACCCUGGGGAGCUUGUGGUAGCCGGAUCCCAAUGGCGGCACUUGCUCCGAGAGAAACCAACGGUGGCUGCAAGAUUUGUUCCGGGACCUACGGAUCUGACGCUGGGAACCCGUGGUGGCCGGAUCCCGACAGCGGCGAGCCUCCGUUGCACAUGUCCAGGCUCUGUCAAGCAGCACAUUCGGAGUCUCGAAAAGGCCCUUGCCGCCGGCAUCAAUGUUUUGCUUCUCUCAUCUGCAUCCACGGGAUCCAAACCCCACUCCGCUCCUCUCCCCCAAGCCACUGAAGACGAUAUUUAUGAGAGGGGUUAGGGAAGGCGGAGAGGAUGCAGAGUUCGACUCUGACUAAGAGUUCUCUUGAGACAUGUGUGAUCUGGUGUCCGAAGUAGAUUUGAAUGCUAGCAUACCUGAAAACCAACAUUUUUUCUAUUUGGACCUUCUUAAAGUAGGUAAGUAUUUUUCGGAUAACAACUUCGCUUUACCUCAAAACUGAUCAACCGAUGUGCCAACGAAUAGAACUAUAGAAUUCAGUAAAGUAUGUGCUUAUGUAAUCCCAGAUCCCUGUGAUUCAAAUAGUAAACUUCCAAUGAUGGGACUGCCUCUCACGUCCUUUAGCAGCGGAACUCCAUCGAUUAAAUCCUGCUGAUAUAAAAAGAGAAAGUGAUUACUACUGGGUAGUUAUAGAUUAGCCACCAAGAAAAAAAGCCAAAUACAAAAGGAAAAAUAAAGCUGGAAUAUUUAUCCAUUGCUUAGUGUAAAGAGAAAGCACAUGCAACCAUGCAUUUUUUAUCAAUUAUAAUUGUUUCUACUGGUUUCCCUUCUCCAAAUAACCUGGCAAAUUGUACUAACAGACUAAACAUAUACAAAUUAUUGAUA